GAUGAACGCUGGCGGCGUGCUUAACACAUGCAAGUCGAACGGAAAGGCCAGUGCUUGCACUGGUACUCGAGUGGCGAACGGGUGAGUAACACGUGGGUGAUCUGCCCUGUACUUCGGUAUAAGCUUGGGAAACUGGGUCUAAUACCGGAUAGGACAACUUUUUGGAUAUUGUUGUGGAAAGCUUUUGCGGUAUGGGAUGAGCUCGCGGCCUAUCAGCUUGUUGGUGGGGUAAUGGCCUACGAAGGCGUCGACGGGUAGCCGGCCUGAGAGGGUGUACGGCCACAAUGGGACUGAGAUACGGCCCAGAGUCCUACGGGAGGCAGCAGUGGGGAAUAUUGCACAAUGGGCGCAAGCCUGAUGAAGCGACGCCGCGUGGGGGAUGAAGGCCUUCGGGUUGUAAACUCCUUUCGCUAGGGACGAAGCGUAAGUGACGGUACCUGGAGAAGAAGCACCGGCUAACUACGUG
rnacentral:rRNA from 1 species